UGACAUCCCGAUGACAAUCUGUGUAAUGCAGACUUCUUCGGACAUCGGUGACAGGUGGUGCAUGGUUGUCGUCAGCUCGUGUCGUGAGAUGUUGGGUUAAGUCCCGCAACGAGCGCAACCCUUGUCUUUAGUAGCCAGCAGUUCGGCUGGGCACUCUAGAGAGACUGCCAGGGAUAACCUGGAGGAAGGUGGGGAUGACGUCAAAUCAUCAUGCCCCUUAUGAUUUGGGCUACACACGUGCUACAAUGGCGUAAACAAAGAGAAGCGAAACUGUGAGGUGGAGCAAAUCUCAAAAAUAACGUCUCAGUUCGGAUUGUUAGUCUGCAACUCGACUACAUGAAGCUGGAAUCGCUAGUAAUCGCGA
rnacentral:rRNA from 1 species